CGGGGGGCACCCACGGGGGGCGGUGAAAACACUUACCAACAUCCUGGUCGAAGGGGUUGGUGGCAAAGAGAGGCAUGUCCGCUGCGUGCCGAGGUGUCCCCGGGGACUGCCCCUCGACCCCGCGGCACUCUAGGGGUGACGGAGAAAGGAGGCCCCUCAGAAAGUCAGGCAGUCCUUUGGGUUACCCGAGGAAAAUGUUGAGCGCGCUCGUCGAGGGUUCAUGGAAGUUGCUGGGAUUGGAGUCAUGUGAGCUGGUGGAGCUGGCCUGAAUCCCUUGGAGGGAGUGUCGAGGCGCACAGCCUCUCGAGAGGCUGAGGUAACGCUGGCUCAUUC
rnacentral:lncRNA from 1 species